ACACGACUACAUUAGAUACCCGCGUAGUCCUAGCCGUAAACGAUACUCGCUAGGUGUCGGCCACGGUGCGACCGUUGUCGGUGCCGUAGGGAAGCCGUGAAGCGAGCCACCUGGGAAGUACGGCCGCAAGGUUGAAACUUAAAGGAAUUGGCGGGGGAGCACAACAACGGGUGGAGCUUGCGGUUUAAUUGGAUUCAACGCCGGAAAUCUCACCGGGACCGACAGCAACAUGAAGGCCAAGCUGAAGACUUUGCCGGAUUAGCUG
rnacentral:rRNA from 1 species